rnacentral:rRNA from 1 species
AGUGAACGCUGGCGGUAGGCCUAACACAUGCAAGUCGAACGGCAGCACAGUAAGAGCUUGCUCUUACGGGUGGCGAGUGGCGGACGGGUGAGGAAUACAUCGGAAUCUACUUUUUCGUGGGGGAUAACGUAGGGACACUUACGCUAAUACCGCAUACGACCUACGGGUGAAAGCAGGGGAUCUUCGGACCUUGCGCGAUUGAAUGAGCCGAUGUCGGAUUAGCUAGUUGGCGGGGUAAAGGCCCACCAAGGCGACGAUCCGUAGCUGGUCUGAGAGGAUGAUCAGCCACACUGGAACUGAGACACGGUCCAGACUCCUACGGGAGGCAGCAGUGGGGAAUAUUGGACAAUGGGCGCAAGCCUGAUCCAGCCAUACCGCGUGGGUGAAGAAGGCCUUCGGGUUGUAAAGCCCUUUUGUUGGGAAAGAAAAGCAGCAGGUUAAUACCCCGCUGUUCUGACGGUACCAAAAGAAUAAGCACCGGCUAACUUCGUG